AUGACAUCAAAGCCUGCUGUGCUGGGUUUCCUCUUGCAAUGGAAGAGUAACGUCUCUGGCAAACAGGUCCUAAGCUGGGAAAUCGCAAUGUGGAAUAGAUUGAGGAGGUCACAUACAGAGGCUGCUGAUGAAGUGGGAAUUGACCUGAAUCUCCUGAGUGAAGUGAGUUACCUGUUAGAACAGGCUUUCAUUUGGUAAAGCAUCUUAAAUAAGGCAAAAAGAUUAAUUCCUUUGUGCUCAAAUUAAAGUACACCUCACUUCUGCAGCCUGUUUAUCAGGGAGGAUUCACUGCCACUGAAUCUGGAAGCCAGAAAUCCCAAUGGAAGAUUCAUACAUGCUGAGUUGCUGAGUGGUGGCAAUCCCCACAGCGAACCUGCUGAGCAGUCAUCAGGUAAUCAGAUGAGGCUGGCCUUCAUCUUUUUGAUGAUGUACUCAGCAAGUCCCACCUUGGUGGGAGCAGGAAGAGGCUGAAUGAUGAAAUCAUAAAACACAGUGGUGUAAAGUAAAAGUUGAAAUGGUAUCAACUGAUAGAUGAAAGUUCAACCCAAAUAUAUUCUUCCAGGUGUUCACACAAGCUCUAGUGUUAUAAAUCUUUCAGCUGCUGUAAAUGAACCAAAGCUGUUCAUUCCUGAACUCCUGCUCUUCCUUCAUCCUCUUUUUUCAAAGUUACUGAUGCUGUCUUUUCUCUGCAGUUUGACUGGGAAUCAGUCUGUGUCAGAAGAAUCCCAGAAACCACACAUUUCCCUCGUGGGCAGAAUUUUGCAAGGUGACCAGAACUGA
rnacentral:lncRNA from 1 species